GUGUUUGCUCUGGCAGCUCCUGUACUAAAGUUGGAAUGAUACAGAGAUCACCACGGACCCUGGGCAAGGAUGACAUGCAAAUUUGUUAGGUGUUCCAUAUUUUU